GCGGAAGUGGCGGAAUCGGCAGACGCGCCAGCCUUAGGAGCUGGUGGCCGAAAGGCCGUAGGGGUUCGAGUCCCUUCUUCCGCACCA
rnacentral:tRNA from 1 species